GUGGGUACAGUUCAGUGGUAGAGCGAACACUUAGCAUGUACAAGUCCUGGGUUCAAUCCCCAGUACCUCCA
rnacentral:tRNA from 1 species